rnacentral:tRNA from 1 species
GGAAGGAUGGUUUUGUGGGUAAAGCAUAUGACUAGGAGUCAUAAGAUCUGGGUUCUAUUCCUGGCUCUCCCA